rnacentral:rRNA from 1 species
AGGUCUAGCCUGCUCACUGAUGAGUUUUUAAAGAGCCGCGGUAUUUUGACCGUGCAAAGGUAGCAUAAUCAUUAGUCUCUUAAUUAGGGGCUGGAAUGAAUGGCUUGACGAGAAAUUAACUGUCUCUUAUUAAAUUAUAGAAUUUAACUUUUGAGUUAAAAGGCUUAAAUUUUUCUUAAAGACGAGAAGACCCUAUAGAGCUUAAUAUUUUUAUUUUUAUAUAAUUUUUAGAAAAUCUUUUUAUAUAAAUAGAAGAUAUUUUGUUGGGGUGACAUGAAGAAUAAAUAAACUCUUUAUUAUAAAAUCAUUAAUUUAUGUUUAUUUUGAUCCAUAAUUUAUGAUCAUAAGAUUUAGUUACCUUAGGGAUAACAGCGUAAUUGUUUUUGAGAGCUCAUAUUGACAAAGCAGAUUGCGACCUCGAUGUUGGAUUAAGAAUAA